GACGAACGCUGGCGGCGUGCUUAACACAUGCAAGUCGAACGGAAAGGCCCUGCUUUUGUGGGGUGCUCGAGUGGCGAACGGGUGAGUAACACGUGAGUAACCUGCCCUUGACUUUGGGAUAACUUCAGGAAACUGGGGCUAAUACCGGAUAGGAGCUCCUGCUGCAUGGUGGGGGUUGGAAAGUUUCGGCGGUUGGGGAUGGACUCGCGGCUUAUCAGCUUGUUGGUGGGGUAGUGGCUUACCAAGGCUUUGACGGGUAGCCGGCCUGAGAGCGUGACCGGCCACAUUGGGACUGAGAUACGGCCCAGACUCCUACGGGAGGCAGCAGUGUGGAAUAUUGCACAAUGGGCGGAAGCCUGAUGCAGCAACGCCGCGUGCGGGAUGACGGCCUUCGGGUUGUAAACCGCUUUCGCCUGUGACGAAGCGUGAGUGACGGUAAUGGGUAAAGAAGCACCGGCUAACUACGUG
rnacentral:rRNA from 1 species